AACGAACGCUGGCGGCAGGCUUAACACAUGCAAGUCGAACGCCCCGCAAGGGGAGUGGCAGACGGGUGAGUAACGCGUGGGAACAUACCCUUUCCUGCGGAAUAGCUCUGGGAAACUGGAAUUAAUACCGCAUACGCCCUACGGGGGAAAGAUUUAUCGGGGAAGGAUUGGCCCGCGUUGGAUUAGCUAGUUGGUGGGGUAAAGGCCUACCAAGGCGACGAUCCAUAGCUGGUCUGAGAGGAUGAUCAGCCACAUUGGGACUGAGACACGGCCCAAACUCCUACGGGAGGCAGCAGUGGGGAAUAUUGGACAAUGGGCGAAAGCCUGAUCCAGCAAUGCCGCGUGAGUGAUGAAGGCCUUAGGGUUGUAAAGCUCUUUUACCCGGGAUGAUAAUGACAGUACCGGGAGAAUAAGCCCCGGCUAACUCCGUGCCAGCCGCCGCAGUAAAAC
rnacentral:rRNA from 1 species